rnacentral:rRNA from 1 species
UAGGGAAUCUUCCGCAAUGGACGCAAGUCUGACGGAGCAACGCCGCGUGAGUGAAGAAGGAUUUCGGUUCGUAAAACUCUGUUGUUAGAGAAGAACAGCGCAUAGAGUAACUGUUAUGCGUGUGACGGUAUCUAACCAGAAAGCCACGGCUAACUACGUGCCAGCAGCCGCGGUAAUACGUAGGUGGCAAGCGUUGUCCGGAUUUAUUGGGCGUAAAGCGAGCGCAGGCGGUCAAUUAAGUCUGAUGUGAAAGCCCCCGGCUCAACCGGGGAGGGUCAUUGGAAACUGGUUGACUUGAGUGCAGAAGAGGAGAGUGGAAUUCCAUGUGUAGCGGUGAAAUGCGUAGAUAUAUGGAGGAACACCAGUGGCGAAGGCGACUCUCUGGUCUGUGACUGACGCUGAGGCUCGAAAGCGUGGGUAGCAAACAGG